rnacentral:misc_RNA from 1 species
GAUGAAGAACGUAGCGAAAUGCGAUAAGUAAUGCGAAUUGCAGAAUUUCCGUGAGUCAUCGAAUCUUUGAACGCACAUUGCGCCCACUGGUAUUCCGGUGGGCAUGCCUGUUCGAGCGUCAUUAUCCUCCCUCAAACCCCGGGUUUGGUGUUGGACCCAAGUUGUGUGAACAACUGGUCUCAAAGACAAUGACGGCGUCCGUGGGACCCUCGGUGCAACGAGCUUUUAGGAGCACGCAUCGAGUUGCAAGGACCUUCCGGGCCGGUCUCCUUUACCAUUUUACAAGGUUGACCUCGGAUCAGGUAGGAAUACCCGCUGAACUUAAGCAUAUCAAUAAGCGGAGGA